rnacentral:rRNA from 1 species
CUACGGGAGGCAGCAGUGGGGAAUAUUGGACAAUGGGCGCAAGCCUGAUCCAGCAAUGCCGCGUGUGUGAAGAAGGCCUGCGGGUUGUAAAGCACUUUCAGUGGGGAGGAAGGUCUCAAUGCUAAUAGUAUUGAGAAUUGACGUUACCCACAGAAGAAGCACCGGCUAACUCUGUGCCAGCAGCCGCGGUAAUACAGAGGGUGCAAGCGUUAAUCGGAAUUACUGGGCGUAAAGGGUGCGUAGGUGGUUUUUUAAGUCAGAUGUGAAAGCCCUGGGCUUAACCUAGGAAUUGCAUUUGAUACUGAAUAACUUGAGUAUGGUAGAGGGAAGUGGAAUUUCCAGUGUAGCGGUGAAAUGCGUAGAUAUUGGAAGGAACAUCAGUGGCGAAGGCGACUUCCUGGACCAUUACUGACACUGAGGCACGAAAGCGUGGGGAGCGAACAGGAUUAGAUACCCGAGUAGUCC